rnacentral:tRNA from 1 species
GCAUAUAUGGCUGAGUGGUCGAAAGCAGUGGACUCAUAAUCCAUAACCCACAAGGGACAACGUAGGUUCAAACCCUACUAUAUGCA